UACGAGGGGGGCAAGCGUUGUUCGGAAUUAUUGGGCGUAAAGGGCGCGUAGGCGGUGCGGUAAGUCUGAUGUGAAAGCCCCGGGCUCAACCUGGGAAUUGCAUUUGAGACUGCGUAGCUAGGGUGCGGAAGAGGGAAGCGGAAUUUCCGGUGUAGCGGUGAAAUGCGUAGAUAUCGGAAGGAACACCAGUGGCGAAAGCGGCUUCCUGGUCCAGCACCGACGUUCAGGCACGAAAGCGUGGGGAGCAAACAGG
rnacentral:rRNA from 1 species